UCUUGGAGUUCUAGCUCACCUUUCUGGUGUUGUUCUUGUACUCAUCUGUUUAAUCUAGUUCUGCCACUUCUUCUUGAACUUCUUGUUAGAUUUCAAGUCUGUAAUUUGUGUCCAUGACAGUUUGUCGAGACUGCACUAACUUGAGAUAUCAGAGCUAGUUCUUUCUUAGUAGAGUGUGGAUUACCCCUCUACUUGAAGGUAUGCUAGCAUUUUUUAGAGG
rnacentral:lncRNA from 1 species